CCCCAGACUCCUACGGGAGGCAGCAGUGGGGGAUAUUGCACAAUGGGGGAAACCCUGAUGCAGCGACGCCGCGUGGGCGAAGAAGUAUUUCGGUAUGUAAAGCCCUAUCAGCAGGGAAGAAGAAAUGACGGUACCUGAGUAAGAAGCACCGGCUAAAUACGUGCCAGCAGCCGCGGUAAUACGUAUGGUGCAAGCGUUAUCCGGAUUUACUGGGUGUAAAGGGAGCGCAGGCGGCACGGCAAGUCAGAUGUGAAAGCCCGGGGCUCAACCCCGGGACUGCAUUUGAAACUGUCAGGCUGGAGUGCAGGAGGGGUAAGUGGAAUUCCUAGUGUAGCGGUGAAAUGCGUAGAUAUUAGGAGGAACACCAGUGGCGAAGGCGGCUUACUGGACUGUAACUGGCGUUGAGGCUCGAAAGCGUGGGGAGCAAACAGGAUUAGAUACCCCCGUAGC
rnacentral:rRNA from 1 species